rnacentral:tRNA from 1 species
AAAAAGAUAAGCUAAAUUUAAGCUAUUAGGUUCAUACCCUAAAUAUAGGUAUAUACCUUCUUUUUA